rnacentral:lncRNA from 1 species
AUCACAAAGCAUUCAUUUCCAUACAUCGUAAUCAGUGUAGCACAAAAUCAUUAUGCAAUUUAUUGUAUUGUUGUUUGAGUCAUGUUUUAUAAUUUGGUUUUAACACACAGGCUAAUUGAGGGGUGUUUUUAUCCGAGUCUGCUUGAUUCUUUCAACACCGUGUACCGUCACCGUGCAUGCAUAGCGGGACCCUGUGAUUCAGUCAGCGUAUUGGCAGUGGGCUCACUUGAUUGCAGAUCUGAGAUAUGUGUGCGUGCCGCAACAAGAGGUCAUUCGGAACGCGGCUGGUGGAGAAACACGCACAGCUUGUUGGAAUCCGCGCCCAUAGCCAAUAUUCGCUCUUUCCUAUCCGUGACAGAGGCUGCAAAAAUGACGAUCAAAAAAAGUAAAACCGUCGUUUUUGAAAGACGUGCAGGGGAUUUAACUGCGUUGUAUUGUAUGAAUGAUUGGAUGAUUGCAGUGGUGUUGGCUAUUAUUACCAUGAUGUCUGUAUGGGCCGCACUCAUCAUAUACAGAUACAUACAGACAGAGAGAGGUAAAAGAAGAAGGAAGGUUGAUGACGACACUAUUUUGGAAACUGAAAAGGACGACAAUGAGACGCGAAACGAAGAAGAACAAAUACUAUCCCGUGUCGAGUCAACAGAGGAGGGUGAAGAAGUCGUGCCAGAGACACUGGAGAGCUGGGAUGGAGAGGAAUGGAGGAGAGAGCCAAUGGAAUGGAUUCCAACAACCAAUGAGGAUGUAGAACCCAUUGAGGGGAUCCCAACCACCAAUAAGGAUGUAGAACCCAUUGAGGGGAUCUCAGCAACAACCAAUGAAGGUGUAGAACCCAUUGAGGGGAUCCCAACAAUAACCAAUGAGGAUGUAGAACCCAUUGAGGGGAUCUCAGCAACAACCAAUGAAGGUGUAGAACCCGUUGAGGGGAUCCCAACAAUAACCAAUGAGGAUGUAGAACCCAUUGAGGGGAUGCCAACCACCAAUGAAGGUGUAGAACCCAUUGAGGGGAUCCCAACCACCAAUGAAGGUGUAGAACCCAUUGAGGGGAUCCCAACAAUAACCAUUGAUGAUAUAGAACCCAUUACAAGGAUCCGAACAACAACCAAUGAAGAUUUAGAACCCAUUAAACAGAUCCGAGCACGGACCAAUGAGGAUCUACAACCCAUUAGACGCAUCCGAACACUAACCAAUGAGGAUCUAGAACCCAUUAGACGCAUCCGAACACUAACCAAUGAGGAUCUAGAACCAAUUAGAUGGAUCCGAACAGCAACCAAUGAGGAUCUAGAACCAAUUAGACGGAUCCGAACAGCAACCAAUGAGGAUCUACAACCCAUUAGACGGAUCCGAACAACAACCAAUGAGAGCGAUGGUCCUUACACGUGGGAGUCAUAUGCUGAGUGGCAGAUCGUUGAGGAGUUUCACCUCGGCUCUCAACCUCAACAGCACUGUGAAGGCAUAUGUCAGCACUAUGACGGCUUAUGUCAGGUCUGUGGAGGCUUGUGUCAUUGCAGUGAAUGCUUAUGUCAGUUCUACGAAGGCUUAUGUCAGGACGACGCCGAGUCCCAGACUGACUGUACCGUGGAUCAAGAGGAGCAGGCUUCUACCAGUCACUAUUCCCUCAGUGACAUAAACUAUCAAUCUGGACAUGAGAAGGAUACAGAUGUGUAUAACCAGGACGAGGAGGGUUUGAAGGAAGUUGAACUGAGUGAUGAUUGUCAAUGUGAGAGCACAGAGGAGGAGUCCGAGGUAAACCAUCCACAUGCCUUUGCCAUCAAGCCUCAGAGAGAUCUGGAAGAGCUCAAUGGAAAUCUCCCUGACAUGAUAUUGACUGACUCUGACCUUACAGAACCUGACCAUGUGUGUUAUACAGAGAUACAGGAAGUACAAUACCCAGAUGAUGACAUGACCAGCCAUGUUGCCGCUGAGAUGAUAUUGAGUGGCACUGACCCUACAGAACCCCUGCCUAAACAUCUGUGUGAUACGGAUAAAGAGGAAGUUGAAUGUCCAGAACAUUAUAUGAACAUCCACGUUAACAUCACGCCUCAAGAAAAGAGGCCUGACGUGAUAUUGACCAACACUGACCUUACGGAACCUCGGCCUGAACAUGUGUGUGAUACAGAGAUACAGGAAGUAGAAUACCCCGAUGAUGACAUGACCAGCCAUGUUGUCUUUUCCAACGAGCCUCAGGAAGAGAGGCCGGAGAUGACAUUGACUGACACUGAACAUGUGUCGGAUAAAGAGAGAGAGGAAGUAGAAUAUCCGGAUGAUGAUAGACACAGCCAUGUUGCUUUUGCCAAAGUCCAGGAAAGUGUAAAUCUCCCUGAGAUAGAACCGGAACAUGUGUAUGAGGUGGAGAGAGAGGAAGUGGGAGUAGAAUAUCCAGAUGAGGUAAUCACUGAAGGUCCAGAACAUCUCAGUGAAAACAUCCCAGAGAUUUUGAGUGACACUGACCUCCAAGAACCUGGCAAUUUAUGUGAAGAAGAAAUACAGGAAGUAGAAUGUA